rnacentral:rRNA from 1 species
AUUGAACGCUGGCGGCAGGCCUAACACAUGCAAGUCGAGCGGAUGAGAGGAGCUUGCUUCUCGAUUCAGCGGCGGACGGGUGAGUAAUGCCUAGGAAUCUGCCUGAUAGUGGGGGACAACGUUUCGAAAGGAACGCUAAUACCGCAUACGUCCUACGGGAGAAAGCAGGGGACCUUCGGGCCUUGCGCUAUCAGAUGAGCCUAGGUCGGAUUAGCUAGUUGGUGAGGUAAUGGCUCACCAAGGCGACGAUCCGUAACUGGUCUGAGAGGAUGGUCAGUCACACUGGAAAUGAGACACGGUCCAGACUCCUACGGGAGGCAGCAGUGGGGAAUAUUGGACAAUGGGCGAAAGCCUGAUCCAGCCAUGCCGCGUGUGUGAAGAAGGUCUUCGGAUUGUAAAGCACUUUAAGUUGGGAGGAAGGGUUGUAGAUUAAUACUCUGCAAUUUUGACGUUACCGACAGAAUAAGCACCGGCUAACUCUGUGCCAGCCGCCGCCGUAACAC